GACAGAGGGUGCAAACGUUGUUCGGAAUUACUGGGCGUAAAGCGCGUGUAGGCAGCUCGGAAAGUCGGAUGUGAAAGCCCUGGGCUCAACCUAGGAAGUGCAUUCGAAACUUCCGAGCUUGAGUGCUGGAGAGGAAGGCGGAAUUCUCGGUGUAGAGGUGAAAUUCGUAGAUAUCGAGAGGAACACCAGUGGCGAAGGCGGCUUCCUGGCCUGUUCUUGACGCUGAGGCGCGAAAGCUAGGGUAGCAAACGGG
rnacentral:rRNA from 1 species